GCCGGGGUGGCGGAACUGGUAGACGCGCCAGACUCAAAAUUUGGUUCCCGCAAGGGAGUGUCGGUUCGACUCCGACCCUCGGUA
rnacentral:tRNA from 1 species